CGCGCGGCGUUCCCCCUUCGUCCCCAUCCCGCCGCCCAUCCCAUGGCGACCCAAUCCCCCAGCCCUACCACGGACCCAGCACCCGCUCCGCCGCCACCGCCCCCCGGCCUCCGCGCGGGGCUCUACGCCGACCGCACCGAGCAGCAGCAGCGCGAUGAAGCCAACCAAGUCAGUGAGAUCCAAAGUCGGGGAGUCUCUGCCUGCUACCUUGAGCACUGAUUUCAACAACCAGGUUGGGGGGCAGAAACCUUUUGCUGGGACAUGCAACAGUAACAGAUCUAGCGAUCUAGCAAACGAGAUAGAUGAUCUUGUGCUGCAACCAAGGUAUGAUGGCGUGAAUGGGCCAAAGAUGGUCUAAUUCUCUGACUUCCUGCUGAUCGUUGCUUCAGAACGACAACCUAGACAACGUCAGCCCAUUGCUGCCCUGCCGCAAGAUGAUCGUAACGUUUCUUCUUUAAGAAGCCCAUCUCCACCCGUUGAAGAAGAACCAAAGGGAGAUGUGUUAGUCAAAUCCUCCCCUGAAAAGGUGGAUGCUGCAUUGGCGCAUGCCAUUGUGUGGGAGGGAACAAUUCAGCUUACUGGGUCUUCACUCACAAAUGUUGUUGCUAUCUU